AAUCUGUGUCUCGCGCCGCCGGUGCAUCGCUCGCGGUGUUUAACUGGCGUGUCCGCGAGACGUCCUGCCGGUGGGCUUAGCCCGGCAACGGGCGGCCCAACUUGAAAUCCCACCGCGGUGCUCUUGACUGAGUGUCGAGGUGGGCCGGCACGUUUACUUUGAACAAAUUAGAGUGCUUAAAGCAGGCUAAAACUUCGCCUGAAUACUGUGUGCAUGGAAUAAUGGAAUAGGACCUCGGUUCUAUUUUGUUGGUUUUCGGAACCCCGAGGUAAUGAUUAAUAGGAACGGAUGGGGGCAUUCGUAUUGCGACGUUAGAGGUGAAAUUCUUGGAUCGUCGCAAGACGGACAGAAGCGAAAGCAUUUGCCAAAAACGCUUUCAUUGAUCAAGAACGAAAGUUAGAGGUUCGAAGGCGAUCAGAUACCGCCCUAGUUCUAACCAUAAACGAUGCCAGCUAGCGAUCCGCCGACGUUCCUCCGAUGACUCGGCGGGCAGCUUCCGGGAAACCAAAGCUUUUGGGUUCCGGGG
rnacentral:rRNA from 1 species